rnacentral:lncRNA from 1 species
UUUUUUUUUUUUUGUCUUCUUGCCAUUUCCUAGGCUGCUCCCAAGGCACAUGGGGGUUCCCAGAAAAGACAAAAAAAAAAAAAAGCAAAUGAGAUAUUACGUCCAACCCAGACCUGAUCAAACCUCUCAGUGGUGCAGUUCUUUCCACUUUCUAGCUGGGUACUAUGAAUUCAAUUUCCCAGGAAACUUCAAAAUCAUAUGUUUUACAGAACUUCAGUCACUGUGAGUCCUAGGUAAUGACAUAAAGGAGAGCUCUUUCUCCAUCUUGUUCACCUGCCAAAUACUGUUAUGUCAACAGAACUUAUACUAUUUUGGAGUUUUUGUUAUGACGGCUAGCUCUCCAUGAUCUAAUGCAACACAUCUACACAUGCAUGCACAGAUACAUACACACACACACACACCGGAAUAGUAGCCAUCAGAAAGAAUGAAAUAAUGCUACUUGCAACAACAUGGAUGGCCCCAGAGAAUAUUACAGUUAGUAAAGUAAGCCAUACAAAGAUAAAUAUCAUAUGAGGAAUGUAAAAAAAGAAAAUACAUUUUCUCAGGUCAGUCUCCCAAGGCAAAAGAAAUAAAAGCAAAAAUAAACCAGUAGGACUGAAUCAAACAGACAAGAUUUGCAUAGCAAAGGAAACCAUUAAAAAAACAAAAAGACGACUUACAGAAUGGGAGAAAAUAGUUUCAAAGGAUGCAACUGACAAGGGUUAAUCUCUAAAAUAUACAAUUUAUUCAACUCAACAGCAAAAAGGCCAAUGAUCCAAUUGAAAAAUGGGAAAAAGACCUGAAUAGGUAUUUCUCCAAAGAUAUACAGAUGGCCAACAAGAACAUGAAAAAAUGUUCAACAUCACUGAUUAUUAGAGAAACGCAAAUCAAAACUGCUAUGAGGUACCACCUCACGCCAGUCAGAAUGACCAUCAUUAAUAAGUCCACGAAUUACAAAUGCUGGAGAGGGUGUGGAGAAAAGGGAACCCUCCUGAACUGUUGGUGGGAAUAUAAAUUGGCACGACCACUAUGGAAAACAGUAUGGAGGUACAUUAGAAAAUUAUAUGUAGAACUACCAUACGACUUCAGUAAUCCCACUCUUGGGCAUAUAUCCAGACAAAAUUCUAGUUAAAAAGAACACAUGCACCCGCAUGUUCACUGCAGCACUAUUCACAAUAGCCAAGACAUGGAAACAACCUAAAUGUCCAUUGACAGAUGAUUGGAUUAAGAAGAUGUGUUAUAUAUACACAAUGGAAUACUACUCAGCUAUAAAAAAGAACAAAAUAAUGCCAUUUUUAGCCACAUGGAUGGAACUAGAAACUCUCAUACUGAGUGAAAUAAGUCAUAAGGAGAAAGACAAAUAUCAUGAUAUUGCUUAUAUCUGGAAUCUAAUAUACAGCACAAAUGAACCAUUUCUCAGAAAAGAAAAUCAUGGACAUGGAGAACAGACUUGUGGUUGCCAAGAGGGAGAGGGAGGAAGUAGGAGGGACUGGGAUUUUGAGGUUAAUAGAUGCAAACUUUAGCCUUUGGAAUGGAUAAACAAUGGGAUCCUGCUGAAUAGCACUGGGAAAUAUGUCUGGUCACUUGUGAUGGAGCAUGAUAAUGUGAGAAAAAAGAAUGUAUACAUGUACGUAUGACUGGGUCACCUUGCUGUGCAGCAGAAAAUUGACAGAACACCGUAAAUCAGCUGUAAUGGAAAAAAAAAUCAUUAUUAAAAAAUAAUAAUACAAAUGAAUGUAUACAUAAAACAGCAACAGGCUCACAGAGAAAACAAACUUAUGGUUACCAGAGAGGAAAGGGACAACAGAGGGAUCAAAAGGAAUAUAAGAUUAACAGAUACCAAUUAUUAUACAUAAAAUAGAUAAGCAAUAAAAAUUUACUGUACAGUAUAGAAAACUGUAUUCUAUACCUUGUAAUGACCUACAAUGGAAAGUAAUCUAAAAAAUAUAUAUAUAUAAUUGAAUCACUUUGCUGUACACCUAAAACUAAUACAAUAUUUUAAACCAACUACAAUUUAAUAAAAAUUUGAAUUAUUGUAUAUUUGAGCAACUUAAGUUUCAAUUUAACUAUGAUGUGACAAUUAGAAUAGCAUCCCAAUCCACUAAUGAAUUUAUUUCCACUAUAUUUGAUAUGUGUUCUACUUUUAAACUAUUUCUCAUCACUAUACAAAUUUGAUUCACUAAACCAAAACCUCUUUUGGCUUCAGCCCUACCAUAUUUCAAACUUCACUAUUUCAUCAAUGAUGCCAACAACUUAUUUGCUAAAUUAGAGAAUUCUGUUUAAUCCUGGAAGAAUAUUUCCUCAAGUUGGGGGCUAUCCUAUCCACUAGGUAAGGGCUUUAUGUAUAUUAUACUUUUAAAUUUAAUCUGAACUAUUAACAUUUUCCCAGUCACUUUCUUAAGUCUAGACAAUCAACCAAACAAUGACUCACCCCCUGAUUUGUACAUUUACCUACUGCCAGACUGCACAUAUUCCUGUGCUGGCUGAUUUCAAGCUACCAAUGUAAAGUCAAUGAAUGUGAGUUUGGGGGAGAUAUACAAUAGCACACUGUUCUAGAAUGCUUCUGCCACAUGGACACUUUAGACAUAAGUAACCUCAAAAAUAGAGUUAAGAAAAAAAGGUGUAACUUAAUUUUAAAAGUGAUGAGUUUUCAGUAUUUAUCUUUAAUUUUAAAGUAGUGCUGAACUUUUAAAGAGUGGGUUUCAACAUUUUAAAAUAGUAGGUUUAUAUAGUUUUUAAUAAUGGCCGUAUUUAACAAUCAGCUUUAAAAAUUCCACAACUGGCUCUUCUGAUCUAGAACUAGUCCUCCCUGGCCCACCAGUUGAAGGAUGGUUUGAGGGGCAGUAAUCGAGCAGUAGCCAAACACACUGUGGCAGAGCUCACUAGUGGCCCCCUUGGGAGAAUAGUGGUACUACACUUUUCUUGCACUUGAAUAUGGUCAUGUGCAUUGAGUUCUGGCUAAUGUGAGUGGGAGUGACUUGCAUCACUUUGAGGACCAGCUGAUGGCCCUUCCAACCCACCUCUCGCCCAGAUAAGAUUUAAGGUCUCUUUUCUCAUCUGCCAGCUCAAUGGAGAUGACUCAGCAGUCCCAGAAGAGAGAGGCACAAGAAGCAAGCAAGGAAGCUAGAUCUAAUAGUCCUGUGGAACAGAAUCACCUCUGACUUGACCUCUCCACCCACCCACUCACUCACAUCCUGACCAGAACAGGCAUGACAUGAGCAAGAAAAAUGUUUUACUUUGUUAAAUUACAGAGAUCUCAGGACUCACCUGUCAUAGCAACUAGUGUUUUUUACCUCAACAAAUAUAAAAUCGAUGCAGGGUUUUCUGUGGUUUGUUUGGUUUUGCCCUGCAAUGAGAGUCUCAGCUGUGUUUUGUGUCUAUCUUCAUUGUUCCUCUAUCACAUCUUUAGGCUUAGGCUUCAAUUUGGAGACUGUAUUGAAGAUCAGGGGCCAGAAAAAAAAAUGGAUCAUACUAAACAGGCCUCCACAGAGUGAGAAUUAUAUAGAAAAACAAAUUAUAUUGUCAAACCCACCCGUAGUUUCACAGCCUUUUUUAGGAGAAACAGCUUCCAAGCUGGGGGGUAUAAAAUUCUUUAGGGCCAUCAGAGAGGAAGUGGGAAAUUUUAGAUACCCCAGGAAGGAAAGCAUGUCCUUCAACAAUAACAUGUCAAUUUUUUAUACUUGAAUAGUGGCACCAAAGGAAGUAGCAGAUAAGGCUAGGAUAAAGAAAAUAAUCUUUAGGAAAUCAGCCCCCCCCUCCUGACAUAUACACAAAAACAUCAAUUGGUCUCGGGGGUGGGGUGGGGGGUUACCCUUGCAGUAGAGGCUGCAGGUGCUAGUCCAAAUGCAAAUGGUUUCUUCUCCUUCCCUUCUCACCACUCCACAAAAGUGGAUGCAGCUCAGCCAUCUGACCUCUGAGUUACGUGUGCAAUAUUAUUCCUCUCUGCAGGAGCAUCCUUAUUUCUUGUUUCUUUUUUCCCUUUUAUUGGGAAUGCUUCCACGUAGCUUUAACAAUAUUACCUUUCACAGCCUGGGGUCUC